GUGUGUGUGUGUGUGUGUGUGUGUGUGUGUGUGUGUGUGUGUGUGUGUGUGUGUGUGUGUGUGUGUGACGCGCGGCGGACACUAAAGCGGUGGCGCCAGAAUGUCACGCUAAAAAGAAAGAUUCUUUAAAAUACAAGGGGGAGCGAGCGAGUCAGAUACCACGGGCACAGAGAGUAAGCAGGUCUGAUCAGAAACAGUUUAUUACUGGGCCAGAGAGCACAAAUAAAAACACCCUUAAAAUGUACGUAAUAAAAUGUUUGCUCUCUACUAAAAACAAUUCUAAAACCCAUAAAACUACCAUUUUCUACAUUCACUAAACCCCCCCCCGCUAUAAUUAUGCCACAUGUUCAUUAUGGGUCCAUCAGCAGGCCAGGAAUUCCUCCUUUAGAGCAGAGUCCACGCCAGCCCCGUCUUCGGCAGGCAAGAAAGAGCCACCCAUCUUCUUGUCCUUCCGCUGGCCCAUCACUUCCCAGUCCGGCUUGCGUUCUGCACCCGAAUCCAUGAUGCGACCACCGCCACAGCUCCCCUUGUGUCGGUGUCCUGUAACAUAACAAAUAGGGGCCAGAACAAUGGUCCCAGAAGCGGCCCUGGCUCAUGGCCAUGGUGACCCUCUCCCAAUCCAGCUGCACCCAGUAAACAACAGUAGAGACCCUACUCACAAAUGCAGGCAGAGGUAAACCUCUGCCCUGCUGCCAAUCACACGCGUUGUCUCUUACUGUUGCCGUUCCAUGAGGUCAGGACUUGGUCGCCGCAUCACACUGGCCAUCUUGCAUUAACCUUCCAGUCUGGGGCCUCUCUCUUCAGUGCUCAGCUAGCCUGUUUUUAAAAGGUCUUUACACAGCUGAUGGGCCACCUCUGGACACACCCCUGCCUCAGCAGGUGGUCCCUAUCAGCUAAUUUGUCCCAUGUGCAGCCAGUCCACAGUGGAUAAAAACCAUGUCACAUACACUGAAAAAAAGGGACUGGCCAUCUCUUGGAUUUAUGUGAAGUAAGUCAAUAAGAUAGCAACGUUAAAUCUCGUGAAACCACGCGUGAUUUCAUCUCGCGGGCUUUGGAUCGUGGUUUAAAAAAGGCAUCCAUCUCAGUCAAGUCGAGCAGCCAACUCUACGUUUUUGAGACGACCUCUAUUCUGCAUUUCACCAGGAGUCAGCUGAUGGAUUGUGGGUUCAAGGUGUUAUGAUAAAAUGCAGCAUUCCAGUGCAUCCCAACCAUGCCUUUACAGUCAAGGUUUCUGACGGAGCUGAGUUUCUCUCUGACAGUCUGCUGAAAGUGUUUGCAAAGUGAUCGGGGGAACAGGGCACAAAGCUAAAGGAUGUAGCUGCCAUUAUGACAUCAAGGAUGACAUUAAUGCUCGGAGUCCCUCAUCAAAGUGCUCCGCAUCUGUGUGAAAGACAAUUGCAACAUCUUGGUGCAGGAGUUCAUGGACUUGACUGAGGCCACUGCACAGAUUGAGAAAACCACAAUGAACAUCUGUCUCCAGAGAUGCGGCAGGCAAUGACUUUUCUGAUGUUGUUCUUCAAGAUCUGGAUAACGUGACCUUUGCAGUAGCCAUGCUGUUUGGACCUUUUUUAUUCCUUCAACAUGAGUUACCCAUCACAACUCUGCUACACUUUUGAGGUGAUUCAAUGGGUGGUAAUGGAGUUGGAUGCAACUCAGCUCUCAAGAAAAGCUCACAACUAAGACAAAACUGCUCCUGCAACGAAGCUCACUGUUAUGCAUGUGAGGUGACCAGCUCUAGGUGAGAGGACAUUUAAAUCUCACACUUGUUCUGCUGCAUUUUUGAAGCUCAAUUCCAGGAACGGAUCGCAGGGUUCAUUUUUAUAUACUCUGCAACUGCCAUGAGGACGAGCUGUUUUUUGUUGUUGUUUGUUUUUCCUUUUGCUCUGUACAAGUUCUGUUUGUCUGUUUGGCAGCAUUUUUAAAUUUCUCUUUUUUCUUUCUUUUACUAGUGAAGAGAUGUAGCGUGAACAGUUAUGCAGUCUAAAUAUCCCAUAUGGGCCGUGUGAAAUGUUAUUUUCAGUUUCAUUCAGUUGAAGUAAAGAACGUUGAAUAUUUCUAAGUGUGCUGUUUUGAACCAAGAUGUCACAGUAUGAUCAGUGCUGUAAUUUUUGACAGUCACUGUAUCAAUGUUAUUUUUGCGUCUCUUGAAUAAAGUUUUUGACCUGCAAGUGCUAAUUUCUUUAGUUAUUGGGGUAAAAUGGGUAGUGUUAAUAGGAAGGUGUUUGCCAAUUCAGUAACCUAAUUUAAUGUUAAUGGAAACUAACAUUACCUCAAAUUGUUUAGUUAUAAUUGUUGUUUAACUGAAUCUUGAUGUCAGAGGCCUUAAAUAGAAUGUUUUGAUUUGUUCUUUCCCAACAUUUUUCAAAAGAAACAGUCUAAUUUCUUUGCUGCGAUUGAUUCCAGAGAACACGGAAGAACUGACAUUAUUUAACUGUUGAUUUAUAUAGAUUCAGUAGAGGAGUAAUGUCAGUUUAAUUCUUUACCUACUGCAGUGAAAUUAGACAUGUUGUUUUGAAAGGUUACUGGUGGAUGCCAGCAACCAUCUUGGAAGAGAACAAUACAAUCUGUUAUAAGGCCUCCAUUUGAAAAUUGUGUAUUUGAUACUAGAAUAUAAUAGCAAAAUGUAAUUUGAAGAUAACAUAUAGUAUUUAAGUGACCAAGUAGUAUUGGGUAAAAGUUAUUGAAUCGUGUUGGGAUAACGUGAAAAAAUUGUGAAGGAUUAAAAUAUUCCAAGAGCUCAAAUUACUUCAUCAAAACAUGUUUAAGUCAC
ensembl:lncRNA